GCAGACAAUAUUACAAUACUUUUAUUCUCUCUCACACACAUUCACAGAUAAAGUUUAGGCAUCGAAUAGUUGGUUCCUGGGCUGUAAACCUCCCAACUUCCUGAUCCAUGCUCCAAAGGACAGAUCUAGGAUCAGCUCACCCUCGUCAAAUCCAAACCAGAACCUUAAUAAUCCACAAAGGGGAAAACUGACCUUAGACCCGCAUUUAAACCCCACGUCUUCCUGCCCAGACACUGCUCUCCAUCCAGAGUUCCUCUGUGCUCCAACUGUCCAUCCUUCUAUCCAUCCAUUCAUCCUUCCACACCCCAGCCAACCAGCCAUUGGUCUGAUGAGUGAAGACAUGAAUUGCUGCGUCUGCUUCGAACCCUACUCUCGCAGGGAGAAAAUCCCUCGGGUGCUCCACUGCGAACACACUUUCUGUGGGCCGUGCUUGGAGGCGAUCUCCAGGCUCCAGAGUGGCCUACUGACCGUGUGCUGCCCUCUGUGCCGCUGGAUCACCUGUUGCCUGGUCAGCUUACCCUUUGCUGGUUCUCUGUUUGUCAACACUGAUAUCUGGGACCAGAUAGCAGACAGACAGGAGGAAGAGGAAGAGAAGGAGGCGUGGAUAGAAGAUACCAGACAGACACAGACCUCCACACAGUACAAAUGCUCUUCAUUGGGGCAUUCUGGUGUGAGGAUCAAGCUACAGAGUUUCUGGAGGAGAAUGAAGCACAAUGGUCAGAGAGGACUAAAAGAAGGGAAGACAUUAAGGUCUUGGUUGUGUAUUGAUAGGUGAUGUCAAUGCCAUGCAAUACUCCUUCCGUGGCCUCGAACUGCUCUUAAACGCUAGUAAAAACUAAAUGCAUGCUUUUCAACCGUUCACUGC